UUAAGUUCAGCGGGUAUCCCUACCUGAUCCGAGGUCAACCUGAAAAAGAGGUUUAACGGCGCGCGCCGCCUGUACUCGAAAGCGAAUUGAAGAUUCACAACGCUCGGAGACAGACGACUCGGCCGGCGACAUUAGGAGGCGCGGCGGACCGCGACCUCCAAUACCAAGCCAGGCUUGAGUGGUGUAAUGACGCUCGAACA
rnacentral:misc_RNA from 1 species